rnacentral:rRNA from 1 species
UAAGGAAUAUUGGUCAAUGGACGCAAGCCUGAACCAGCCAUGCCGCGUGAAGGAUUAAGGCCCUCUGGGUUGUAAACUUCUUUUAUAGGGGAAGAAAUGUGACGGUUCUCCGUCGCUUGACGGUACCCUGGGAAUAAGCACCGGCUAACUCCGUGCCAGCAGCCGCGGUAAUACGGAGGGUGCAAGCGUUAUCCGGAUUCACUGGGUUUAAAGGGUGCGUAGGUGGGCAGAUAAGUCAGUGGUGAAAUCUUCCGGCUUAACCGGGAAACUGCCGUUGAUACUAUUUGUCUUGAAUAUUGCGGAGGUAAGCGGAAUAUGUCAUGUAGCGGUGAAAUGCUUAGAUAUGACAUAGAACACCAAUUGCGAAGGCAGCUUACUACACAAUCAUUGACACUGAGGCACGAAAGCGUGGGUAGCGAACA